CCGACACGAGCGGGUGGCUUUUAGCGGCUCUCGCGCUUCCUCGUACAAUAAUCGUUCUCUUCGUUGACGUUGCCCCUCUUCACACAGACUUUGUUGCUCCCAAGUAUACACACACUUCUCGCCCACACUUUGACAAUCGACCCUUUCUUCUUCUUCUUCUUCUUCUUUACCUCAGCCAAUACAAAGGCAGUGCGAUUAUUUUCUUUUAUUUUUGUUUUGCUCCAUCGUGCCAACAUCCGAGGAAUGUUAUACAACACGGAUAAACAACGGACGACGCUGGCUGCUUUUCACGCCCGACCCUCCAAGUGCAGGUGGUAACCCCUUUACAAAAUCUAUAAAGAGACGCGUGCAAACAACAACCAAGCGGUGGUGUGUCUGCUGUACACGCAGCCCUGUACUACUAGCGCGGUCCGAGUGAUCGGCCGUUACUACUACCGCGCGAUUGGUUUGGCGUGUGUGGCGAUUUCGCCGGUCCGACUCCGGGGAGAGUAGCAAGAAACCUUGUGGUAAAAAAAAAAAAAAAAAAAAAAAAAAAAUAGGGAAGCUCGGGCGCGCCGCCGCACACACUCGUGGAGGCGCAUGGCGAUCAGCUGAUCAUCGGCGCCGUGUCGCUGCUCACGGGAGAGCGCGUGGAGUUUUUGAAACCGCGGGCGCUUCUUCUCGAGGGAUUUGUCAAGGGAGGAAGACGCGCGAAGAAACAGUGUGCUGGUGCGUGAGUGAGCUUUGUUGUGAAUAACGAUAGGAGGAGGAGGAAAAAAAUAAUAGUCAGUGGUGCGACAAAAAUACAUAUGUAUGUAUGUGUAUAAAAGUGGGGUGCGAAUGACGUGAGAAGAAGAGAAAAAAAAAAAAAAAAAAAGGUGUGACGAUGUCGCGUGUAUAAGAGCGCGCGACGUAACGCCAUCAGCUGGUGCAGCGUUCGAUGAUGGUGGUGCCAACGACCGAGCCGUCAAUAACAACGUCGACGACUGCGUCGGGCCGAAUCAGAGGAGCCGGAAGAACCUGCCGCGUGUGUGUUGUAGGUAGUGCCUGACGUACAGCAACGAGCAUUGGCUUUCGAAGAGUUGUCCAGUUGAAAUCACUUGGCCGGAGGACAUAGUGCUUUCAUGCCAGUAGAACGAGGCCGGCAGCGUCAGUCCUGGUCGGCCGGGAAGCACAGGCACAGGCUCAAAGGGACUUUAUGCAGGUACCCGCGUACAUAGUGACGAAAGUGUGAAAAACAAAGGUGAAAAUUGUGAAGAAAAAAAAAAAAAAAAAAAAAAAAAAAAAAAAAA